AUGGAGCUAGCUAGGAUGGAUCCACCCGGCGUCGAGCUCCCCAAGAGCUGCCUCCUCGCUAUCAAGCCUGUGGUCGCCGAUUCCACCAACGCCACCUACCAGACGGAGCACCCGGAUGACUCUCGCGCGAUCUCCAUUCAGGUCAGCUUGUUCGUCCAUCCUUUUCAGAUGGGAAGAUUCACAACACUGUUCUACAGCACCAUCUCUAGCCAUCUCAAUAUAAGUGCUGCAGCUUCAGGUGCAAAGGGAGACCUGGAAUGGCUAGGAACGCACCGUGAACAGCAAGGCGGCGUGGGAGCUUAUGAUGCGGAUGACAAGGAGCUGGAACAUGUGAAGCCGUGUCUGAUUUAG
rnacentral:rRNA from 1 species